GAGCCGCUAGCUCAGUUGGUAGAGCAACGGCCUUUUAAGCCGUGGGUCGAAGGUUCGAGCCCUUCGCGGCUCA
rnacentral:tRNA from 2 species